AAAUCUAAACUGGUAGCAUAAACUAGCGGGAAUACCAAAUCAGACCCAUCGACAAGGCUAUCAGCACGAGGCGCGAGCGAUCCUGGGUGUUGGUAGUAGAGGUACUAUUGUAAACACAAAUAUUUUACGUCGUGGGCAUUGCUUGUGUGUGUACUAAUAGGUUAUUCAUAAUUUCAAUGUGGGAAAAACUAUCUGUUGCCCACUUGUGCACAUAUACGAACUUGACAACGGCCAGAGUGGUUUUCCGGAUCCUGCGGAUUUUGCGCAUGUGCGCAGUUAUGAGUCUCUCUUCUCGAACUUUUCGACGCGUUGAACAUACAUAGCAAACAGCUUGAGAGAAAGAAUUUUAAUUUUCCUAAAAGCGCUGCCAAAGCCCUCAAGGUAAGAUAAACACGCUUGAGCUUGUGUGUGGAAUGUCCUUCAAAGUGUUCCCUAUUAUAGCAGGUCCAGGGGAACUCUGCGUCAUGCAGAGGUACCCGCGCAGGACUUGUUUUUUGAAGUCCUGAGGUGCCUGAAACGCGGACGACACCGUGUGCGGUGUAUCAUUCCACCGUUUCCCUCUAGACGUUGCCAGUGCUGAAGCUACGUGAACAUCUGUCUGGGGACCUGAGCUCCCACAUUAAGGAAACUGAUGUAGAGCAUGGCUUGCUUUUUGCGGCGUGGAGCUCCAGGACCGUUCCCCUCUACAAUUCCACUCUCGCGUCCUGUGUUCACAGCACUUCCCACCAAGUGCAUUUUUGCGCACAGGAAGGUUGAGAUGGAAUGCAUUUCCAACACUGAGGCGUACUUUUCCAGAAGCUGGACCGAGCAGGACCCUCAGCACAGAAACUGCAGAGGCUGUGGAAGCAGCUGGUACAGGAGGCACUGACACAGCAGAGAUGUGUACAUCACAGUUGCACUCAGGAAGUGGGACUGAAGCCCUGCAACCCUGCCCGCCGGUGAGUGCUGAGCGGCACGAGUCCAGUCUCCACGACCACUGCUAUGCUUCAAUCGCAC